rnacentral:rRNA from 1 species
UACGUAGGAGGCAAGCGUUGUCCGGAAUUACUGGGCGUAAAGCGCGUGUAGGCGGUCUGAAUAGUCUGCUGUGAAAGCGCCUGGCUUAACCGGGCGAGGUCGGCGGAAACUCUCAGACUGGAGGCCGGUAGAGGGGGGUGGAAUUCCCGGUGUAGUGGUGAAAUGCGUAGAGAUCGGGAGGAACACCUGUGGCGAAGGCGGCCCCCUGGGCCGCGCCUGACGCUGAGGAGCGAAAGCGUGGGGAGCGAACAGG